UGCAAGGGCCAGAGUGGUGUAAUGGUUAGAGCUUUCAACUAUAACUCUGGAGAUCAGGGUUCAAAUCCCUGCUCCAUUCAA